GUGCUCGCUUCAGCAACACAUAUACUAAACUUGGAAUGAUACAAAGAAGAUUAGCAUGGCUCCUGUGCAAGGACAACAAACAAAUUCAUGACGCAUUCCAUAUUAAA
ensembl:snRNA U6 U6 spliceosomal RNA